UACGUAGGGACCAAGCGUUGUUCGGAUUUACUGGGCGUAAAGGGCGCGUAGGCGGCGCGGUAAGUCACUUGUGAAAUCUCUGAGUUUAACUCAGAACGGCCAAGUGAUACUGCAGUGCUAGAGUGUGGAAGGGGCAAUCGGAAUUCUUGGUGUAGCGGUGAAAUGCGUAGAUAUCAAGAGGAACACCUGAGGUGAAGACGGGUUGCUGGGCCAACACUGACGCUGAUGCGCGAAAGCCAGGGGAGCAAACGGG
rnacentral:rRNA from 1 species